CCUACGGGAGGCAGCAGUGGGGAAUAUUGCACAAUGGGGGAAACCCUGAUGCAGCGACGCCGCGUGAGUGAAGAAGUAUUUCGGUAUGUAAAGCUCUAUCAGCAGGGAAGAAAAUGACGGUACCUGUUUGAGAAGCCCCGGGUAACUACGUGCCAGCAGCCGCGGUAAUACGUAGGGGGGAAGCGUUAUCCGGAUUUACUGGGUGUAAAGGGAGCGUAGACGGCAGCACAAGUCUGGCGUGAAAUGCCGGGGGUUAACCCCGGAACUGCUUUGGAAACUGAGUAGCUAGAGUGCAGGAGAGGUAAGUGGAAUGCCUAGUGUAGCGGUGAAAUGCGUAGAUAGUAGGAGGAACACCAGUGGCGAAGGCGGCUUACUGGACUGUAACUGACGUUGAGGCUCGAAAGCGUGGGGAGCAAACAGGAUUAGAUACCCGUGUAGUC
rnacentral:rRNA from 1 species